GCCACCUCUGCCUUGGCAGCUGUUUGACUUCUCAGAUUAGAUUUCUCCUCUAUGAAAUGGAAAUAAUAGUACCAAUCUCACAGAUUUCUUAUGAAGAUGAAAUGAGAUAAUGUGCCCUAUAUGUGCCAGAUAAGCUCAUCUUUAUCUGGGGAACAUGUAGAACUACGAUGAAGUAAAGGGAGAUGGAAGAAAAUUUAAUAGUUUAAGAGUAUGUCUUAUAAAAUAAUAGGUUUCAUAUUUGCCAAUGGCUGGUGAUCUCUGCAGACGGAGCCCUUGGUUUCAAGUAAAACACCUCAACCGUUUACAAGAAGGAAAGCUAUCCAUGGAAGGAGUGAUCUGCAAUUUACAUAUUCCAGGACUGAAAGUCUACAGUUGCUGAUAAAAUAUACAUCUGUAUGUAAUAAAUAAGAAUUAUGUCUAAG